GAUGAACGCUAGCGGCAGGCAUAAUACAUGCAAGGCGAAGGGGCAGCAAUGUCACUGUCGUACGGGUGCGUAACGCGUAUGCAACCUACCUAUCACUGGGGGAUAGCCCGGGGAAACCCGGAUUAAUACCGCAUAAAACAGGGGCACCGCAUGGUGAUAUUUGUUAAAGAUUUAUUGGUGAUAGAUGGGCAUGCGUUCGAUUAGCUAGUUGGCGGGGUAACGGCCCACCAAGGCGACGAUCGAUAGGGGAGCUGAGAGGUUGGUCCCCCACACGGGCAGUGAGAUGAGGGCCCGGCGCCUACGGGAGGCGGCAGGAGGGAAUAUUGGGCAAUGGAUGCAAGUCUGACCCAGCCAUGCCGCGUGCCGGAUGAAGGCCCUCAGGGUUGUAAACGGCUUUUAUUCGGGAAGAAGAGCAGGGAUGCGUCCUUGUGUGACGGUACCGAAUGAAUAAGCACCGGCUAACUCCGUGCCAGCCGCCGCCGUAAUAC
rnacentral:rRNA from 1 species